rnacentral:misc_RNA from 1 species
GAUGAAGAACGUAGCGAAAUGCGAUACUUGGUGUGAAUUGCAGAAUCCCGUGAACCAUCGAGUCUUUGAACGCAAGUUGCGCCCGAAGCCACUAGGCCGAGGGCACGCCUGCCUGGGCGUCACACGCCGUUGCCCCCCCAUCUACUCCUUCGGGAUUGCGGGGGGGCGGAUGAUGGCCUCCUGUGCGCCUAGCCGCGCGGUUGGCAUAAAUACCAAGUCCUCGGCGACGCACGCCACGACAAUCGGUGGUUGCGAAACCUCGGUUGCCCGUCGUGUGCGUUCGUCGCGCAUCGAGGGCUCGAAAAAAUGCUCGGCUCCGGCUCGGCUUUCAACGCGACCCCAGGUCAGGCGGGGUUACCCGCUGAAUUUAAGCAUAUCAAUAAGCGGAGGA